AUUUUGCGUGAGCGAUUGAAGUGAAAAUCCCGCAACCGCUGAAAGCGAGUGAGGAAUUGUAACGAAAAGCGCGACCUGAA
rnacentral:misc_RNA from 1 species